rnacentral:rRNA from 1 species
GAUGAACGCUGGCGGCGUGCCUAAUACAUGCAAGUCGAGCGAACGGACGAGAAGCUUGCUUCUCUGAUGUUAGCGGCGGACGGGUGAGUAACACGUGGAUAACCUACCUAUAAGACUGGGAUAACUUCGGGAAACCGUAGCUAAUACCGGAUAAUAUUUUGAACCGCAUUGUUCAAAAGUGAAAGACGGUCUUGCUGUCACUUAUAGAUGGAUCCGCGCUGCAUUAGCUAGUUGGGAAGGUAACGGCUUACCAAGGCAACGAUGCAUAGCCGACCUGAGAGGGUGAUCGGCCACACUGGAACUGAGACGCGGUCCAGACUCCUACGGGAGGCAGCAGUAGGGAAUCGGACGCAAUGGGCGAGAGCAUGACGGAGCAACGCGGCGUGAGUGAUGAAGGUCUUCGGAUCGUAAAACUCUGUUAUUAGGGAAGAACAUAUGUGUAAGUAACUGUGCACAUCGUGACGGUAACUAAUCAGAAAGCCACGGCUAACUACGUG